GACGAACCGAGCGAACGUUGUUCGGAAUCACUGGGCUUAAAGGGCGCGUAGGCGGGCCGCCGCGUCCGGGGUGAAAUCCUCCCGCUCAACGGGAGAACGGCCUCGGAUACGGGCGGUCUGGAGGGGGGUAGGGGCGUGCGGAACUGUGGGUGGAGCGGUGAAAUGCGUUGAUAUCCACAGGAACUCCGGUGGCGAAGGCGGCACGCUGGACCCCACCUGACGCUGAGGCGCGAAAGCCAGGGAGCGAACGGG
rnacentral:rRNA from 1 species